CGAAGGUGUCCCACGUGUCCUCGCCUGCUUUAGUAAUAAUCUUCUACGCCGUGAGCCUCUCAAGCUUGUGGAUGGUGGAGAAUCACAGAGAACUUUCAUCUACAUCAAGGAUGCUAUCGAAGCCGUCCUUUUGAUGAUUGAAAACCCAGAGAGGGCAAAUGGGCAUAUCUUCAAUGUUGGC